CUACGUGCCAGCAGCCGCGGUAAUACGGAAGGUUCGGGCGUUAUCCGGAUUUAUUGGGUUUAAAGGGAGCGUAGGCCGGAGAUUAAGUGUGUUGUGAAAUGUAGACGCCCAACGUCUGACUUGCAGCGCAUACUGGUUUCCUUGAGUACGCACAACGUUGGCGGAAUUCGUCGUGUAGCGGUGAAAUGCUUAGAUAUGACGAAGAACUCCGAUUGCGAAGGCAGCUGACGGGAGCGCAACUGACGCUGAAGCUCGAAGGUGCGGGUAUCGAACAGGAUUAGAUACCCUGGUAGUCCGCACAGUAAACGAUGGAUGCCCGCUGUUGGUGCCUGGUAUCAGCGGCUAAGCGAAAGCAUUAAGCAUUCCACCUGGGGAGUACGCCGGCAACGGUGAAACUCAAAGGAAUUGACGGGGGCCCGCACAAGCGGAGGAACAUGUGGUUUAAUUCGAUGAUACGCGAGGAACCUUACCCGGGCUUGAA
rnacentral:rRNA from 1 species